GUAUAAUUUUUGUUUAUAGGCGCAAAGGCCCAUUUAUUAAACAUUCGGUUACAUAUAUUGGGGUAUAUAAACAAACAUAGACGUAGGAAAUAGUAAAACCAAGAAAAAAUGCUUUUUCAAAACCAAUGAAGGCUUAUCCUUACAAAUUUCCGUUACAGAUUUUUUCUUCCCUAGUCUACAAAAGGUGCACAGGUGGAGAUAUAAAGAUGACGAAGGCGUGCACAUGCAAUAAAUUGCCAGCUACAACCAACAUCAAGUUUAUUUUCAAUAAUGAUCCUUCCGCAGGUUCACCUACGGAAA
rnacentral:misc_RNA from 1 species